UAUAGGGGGUUUCCUUGCAGUCGAGCGGCAGCACGAGAGAGCUUGCUCUCUUGGUGGCAAGUGGCGGACGGGUGAGUAAUAUAUCGGAACGUGCCCAGUAGCGGGGGAUAACUACUCGAAAGACUGGCUAAUACCGCAUACGCCCUACGGGGGAAAGGGGGGGAUCGCAAGACCUCUCACUAUUGGAGCGGCCGAUAUCGGAUUAGCUAGUUGGUGGGGUAAAGGCUCACCAAGGCAACGAUCCGUAUCUGGUUUGAGAGGACGACCAGCCACACUGGGACUGAGACACGGCCCGAACUCCUACGGGAGGCAGCACUGGGGAAUUUUGGACAAUGGGGGAAACCCUGAUCCUGCCAUCCCGCGUGUAUGAUGAAGGCCUUCGGGUUGUAAAGUACUUUUGGCACAGAAAAAAAGGCAUCCCCUAAUACGGGAUGCUGCUGACGGUAUCUGCAGAAUAAGCACCGGCUAACUACGUGCCAGCAGCCGCGGUAAUACGUACGGUGCAAGCGUUAAUCGGAAUUACUGGGCGUAAAGCGUGUGUAGGCGGUUCGGAAAGAAAGAUGUGAAAUCCCAGGGCUCAACCUUGGAACUGCAUUUUUAACUGCCGAGCUAGAGUAUGUCAGAGGGGGGUAGAAUUCCACGUGUAACAGUGAAAUGCGUAGAUAUGUGGAGGAAUACCGAUGGCGGAAGCAACCCCCUGGGAUAAUACUGACGCUCAGACACGAAAGCGUGGGGAGCAAACAAGAUUAGAUACCCUGGUAGUCCACGCCUCUAAACGAUGUCCACUAGCUGUUGGGGGCCGUUAUGCCUUAUUAGCGCAUCUAACGCGUGAAGUUGACCGCCUGGGGGAGUACGGGUCUCAGUAUGAAAACUCAAAGGAAAUGGAUCUGGGACCCGUACGAGUCGCUGCAUGCAUGCUCGCACUUAGUUCGGAUGGCUAACGCGGCAAAAUAACACCUUUAUACCG
rnacentral:rRNA from 1 species